rnacentral:rRNA from 1 species
CCUACAAGUCGAGCAGGGUCGAAAGACGGACUUAGUGAUCCGGUGGUUCCGCAUGGAAGGGCCAUCGCUCAACGGAUAAAAGCUACCCCGGGGAUAACAGGCUUAUCUCCCCCAAGAGUUCACAUCGACGGGGAGGUUUGGCACCUCGAUGUCGGCUCAUCGCAUCCUGGGGCUGUAGUCGGUCCCAAGGGUUGGGCUGUUCGCCCAUUAAAGCGGUACGCGAGCUGGGUUCAGAACGUCGUGAGACAGUUCGGUCCCUAUCCGUCGUGGGCGUAGGAAAUUUGAGAGGAGCUGUCCUUAGUACGAGAGGACCGGGAUGGACAUACCUCUGGUGUACCAGUUGUCGUGCCAACGGCAUAGCUGGGUAGCUAUGUGUGGACGGGAUAAGUGCUGAAAGCAUCUAAGCAUGAAGCCCCCCUCAAGAUGAGAUUUCCCAACUUCGGUUAUAAGAUCCCUCAAAGAUGAUGAGG